GUGGGGAAUAUUGGACAAUGGGCGAAAGCCUGAUCCAGCCAUGCCGCGUGAGUGAUGAAGGCCUUAGGGUUGUAAAGCUCUUUCGUCAGGGAAGAUAAUGACGGUACCUGAAGAAGAAGCCCCGGCUAACUUCGUGCCAGCAGCCGCGGUAAUACGAAGGGGGCUAGCGUUGUUCGGAAUUACUGGGCGUAAAGCGCACGUAGGCGGAUAUUUAAGUCAGGGGUGAAAUCCCAGAGCUCAACUCUGGAACUGCCUUUGAUACUGGGUAUCUCGAGUAUGGAAGAGGUGAGUGGAAUUCCGAGUGUAGAGGUGAAAUUCGUAGAUAUUCGGAGGAACACCAGUGGCGAAGGCGGCUCACUGGUCCAUUACUGACGCUGAGGUGCGAAAGCGUGGGGAGCAAACAGGAUUAGAUACCCUAGUAGUCC
rnacentral:rRNA from 1 species